AACAAGAAUCUCUGUUUCUUUUCUGUUUUGUUUUGUUUCCUUCAUUUUUUUUCACUUUAAUUUGUGAACUGUGGUGUGAUUGUAUUCUCGUUUAUUGGUCUCCCUCUGCUACUUCAUAGUUAAUAGUUUUGCAGUAUCCUUUAACGUUAUGUUUGUAUUGAUUUGGCUGAUAUUGUGGACAUGUGGUUUUGGAAUACUCUACUUGAUGUUUGACUAGUUCCCUGUUGGUUUAAUGGUUUCAGUUGAGAAAUUCUUGUAGUUGGUUGCUAAUCUGUUUCUCCUUGAUUUGUCAGCGUCAAGUUGGAACGCAUUGUGUAAUUUGCUGAUGAGUCUAUGAGAAACACUUAGGCUUUCCUUUGUAAAUUGUAUUAUAGCUCAUUACUUUCAUUCGUAUCUAAGAAAUCUAGAUGUGCACCUUAUGUGGCAACAGUUUAGUUCACUUACUUGUAGGCCUGCUUCUCACAUCAUUCUGGGACUUGUGGAAUCUAACUUAGUAAAAACACCUGGGAUCCCUCCUUCACUUGAUGAACUACUACUACUGUACAAGUUAGAUUAUUGUGAAGUAAGCGAUACAGAUGACUAUGAUUCAGAUUCCAGCAUCUGCACAAUUAUGUAGUCCUCAACCAACCACCAUUAACAUGGAGUUUUAACAAUGAGCUCGUCCUUUGUGUCUAGCUUCUUUUUAAGCAAUCAAUUCUUUUGUGAUCAAGUCUUCUGUCACAUUUCAUUCAUAGGAGUGACAGUAUAUAUAUAAUAGAUUACUUAUGUAUUGUCCAAUAGAGGCUGAAGAUCUUUGCGAAUGCUGUUUGAUUUGAUGACAGGUUUUUGACAGUAAACUAUGUAUGUAUUUACUGCAACACACACAAGCUAAUUCAAUUGUAAGCAUGUGCAGCCAUUUUAUUCCUUCU